rnacentral:rRNA from 1 species
AGUGAACGCUGGCGGUAAGCCUAACACAUGCAAGUCGAACGGCAGCACAGUAAGAGCUUGCUCUUACGGGUGGCGAGUGGCGGACGGGUGAGGAAUACAUCGGAAUCUACUUUUUCGUGGGGGAUAACGUAGGGAAACUUACGCUAAUACCGCAUACGACCUACGGGUGAAAGCAGGGGAUCUUCGGACCUUGCGCGAUUGAAUGAGCCGAUGUCGGAUUAGCUAGUUGGCGGGGUAAAGGCCCACCAAGGCGACGAUCCGUAGCUGGUCUGAGAGGAUGAUCAGCCACACUGGAACUGAGACACGGUCCAGACUCCUACGGGAGGCAGCAGUGGGGAAUAUUGGACAAUGGGCGCAAGCCUGAUCCAGCCAUACCGCGUGGGUGAAGAAGGCCUUCGGGUUGUAAAGCCCUUUUGUUGGGAAAGAAAAGUAGCAGGUUAAUACCCCGCUGUUCUGACGGUACCCAAAGAAUAAGCACCGGCUAACUUCGU